UUUCUGGAUGGUAGUGUAUUGGACUACCAUGAGGAUUACGGGUACGAGGAAUUAGGGUUUGAUAUCGGAGAGGGAGCCUGAGAAACGGCUACCACUUCUAAGGAAGGCAGCAGGCGCGUAAAUUACCCAAUCCCAACUCGGGGAGGUAGUGACAAGAAAUAAUAACUCGGAUAGUUCUACUAUUACGAGAUUAAAAUGAGAACAAUUUAAAAAUCUUAACGAGGAACAAAAUGAGGGCAAGUCUGGUGCCAGCAGCCGCGGUAAUUCCAGCUCAUUUAGUGUAUAUUAAAGUUGUUGCAGUUAAAAAGCUCGUAGUCGAUCAUCUAGUGCUUGCCGUCGUGGCUUCGGUCAUUGCGCGCGGGUGCUAUCUGCUCGAGAACUUCAUCUAACUUCACUGUUCGAUGUUGCUGAUCGGGCACUUUCCUGAGAAAAAAUUAGAGUGUUCAAAGCAGGCUAAUGCCUUGAAUAUUACAGCUUGGAAUAAUAGAAUAAGACUGAAGUCUCUUUUGUUGGUUAUGAACUUUAGUAAUGGUUAAUAGAAACAGGCGGGGGCAUUAGUAUUUAAUUGUCAGAGGUGAAAUUCUAUGAUUUAUUAAAGACUAACUUAUGCGAAAGCAUUUGCCAAGGAUGUUUUCAAUUGAUCAAGAACGAAAGUUAGGGGAUCAAAGACGAUCAGAUACCGUCAA
rnacentral:rRNA from 1 species